rnacentral:ncRNA from 1 species
ACCCCGCGUAUGUCCGGGUUAUGACAUACACCUCCCUGUUGGACUUGGCCGGGCAAAUGCCCGGCCUUUUUU